GGUGAGGUGUCCGAGUGGUCGAAGGAGCACGCCUGGAAAGCGUGUAUACCGAAAGGUAUCGAGGGUUCGAAUCCCUCCCUCACCGCCA
rnacentral:tRNA from 1 species